GAUGAACGCUGGCGGCGCGCCUAACACAUGCAAGUCGAACGGUUAAAGCACCUUUUAGGUGUGUAUAAAGUGGCGAACGGCUGAGUAACACGUGGGCAACCUGCCCUCCUCUUGGGGAUAGCCUCGGGAAACCGAGGAUAAUACCCGAUACUUCAAUGUGGCCGCAUGACGACAUUGAGAAAGCUUUUGCGGAGAAGGAUGGGCCCGCGGCCUGUUAGCUUGUUGGUGGGGUAGAGGCCUACCAAGGCAAUGAUGGGUAGCUGGGUUGAGAGACCGACCAGCCAGAUUGGGACUGAGACACGGCCCAGACUCCUACGGGAGGCAGCAGUGGGGAAUCUUGCACAAUGGGCGAAAGCCUGAUGCAGCGACGCCGCGUGCGGGACGAAGGCCUUCGGGUUGUAAACCGCUUUCAGCAGGGACGAGGCGAAAGUGACGGUACCUGCAGAAGAAGCCCCGGCUAACUCCGUGCCAGCAGCCGCGGUAAUACGGAGGGGGCAAGCGUUAUCCGGAAUUAUUGGGCGUAAAGGGUACGUAGGUGGCCUUUUAAGCGUAGGGUAUAAGGCAAUGGCUCAACCAUUGUUCGCCCUAUGAACUGGAAGGCUUGAGUGCAGGAGAGGAAAGCGGAAUUCCUAGUGUAGCGGUGGAAUGCAUAGAUAUUAGGAGGAACAUCAGCGGCGAAGGCGGCUUUCUGGACUGCAACUGACACUGAGGUACGAAAGCGUGGGGAGCAAACAGG
rnacentral:rRNA from 1 species